GUAUGUGAGUUGGAGGAAGAAGACGUUCUAAAGAAAGCUCAGCAACACCUUCAGGCUUUGUCAUCCUGCUUUGCACAACUUACACACAAAGCCCAAACCAUCUUUCAAAAUAAUGCCAAGUUAGAGGCUGAACUUGUACAUCUGCGGAGAGAAGCAUGUGAGGGCAAAGCUCAGCUCAAAGUAUUGAAGGAGAAGCUAGACACAUUAAGUAUUCCACAACCCCCACCAGAAGCUGACCCUUUAUCUUCUGAUCCUAAAACUUCUGAAGUUGUUGUCUCUCAGGUAACAGGCAUCCAAAAUCAACUGCCAGAAUUUAUCCAAGCAGAAGAGGU